UAGCAAAAAUGUUGCAUGCCACUGUGGAGCUGGGAGCUUCUGAGUUCAUGCUCAGUUUUGCUUUUGGAUAAUGCUUCUUUUGCAACUAUUUUACCUUUUUUCCUAAAUCUGCUUCAUGGGUGGCAGGGCUGAUAUUUCCCCUCACCCUUCGUGAUCUCAAAGUCUUUUCAAGCAUUUGAAAGGCCAAGUGUCAAUCAGGAUGAAGGUGUGAAGAAGUAGUCAAGGCUGUUGGUAUUUUUCAAGUGUCUUUCAUUCUCCUGUUCAAUUUUUCAAGUGUUGGUUGGUGCCUAUUUAAUGGAGGCUCAGGUUAAAUCCAUGCUAAGAAACAUUGUUGUGUAACAGGAGCCUGUCUGCAGCAUUUAGCUUUGGGUUUCAUUUCAGCUGAAGGGAUCCAAUUCAUGCGUGGCAGGGCAGCUCCAUGGCAGCAGGAGGUGAGGUGGUGGAAGUGGUGGUAAUCACUUGAAUCACUUUACAAGUGCCUUCCUGAUCUGAAAGUCAAUGCUUGCAUGAGGUCCCUAUAGAUGAGCCCUGCAAAAAGCAUAUUCCAAAGGAGCCUGGGGAGAAGAGGAGGUUGAACCGUUGGUUUCAGAUCUACAAGGUAAAGAGGAAGGGUCCUGUGACUCUGCAGAUCAGCUUCCAUCUGCAAUUUCACCUCAUUUGGCAAGAGAAGACAACCGUGUGCUGGAGUCAAGUCAGGGUGACAGGAAUGGCUGGUCCAAAGGAACUGGUGCGGCGCUGGAGCCUGGCAUGGACCAGCUUACAUUGAUGUGUCUGCCCAGAAUCUAUCUUUGCAGCAGAAAAUAAAAUUGAAGCAGGUUUCUUCAGAAGAAAGAAGUUUUGUGUUUCUUUAACGACUUGAGAAUGACCCAGUGUCAGGACCCAGAGGGACAGAAGUUAUUCUCUAUCCUCUGAGCUGAAAGUGGGUUUAGAUGGACUCAAGAAGAGACCUAUUCCCUUCUGCUGACAAACUGUCUGUGUAAACCAUCACUGGAGUGAUCACUCGACCACUUAAGGAACCUGAACAUACAUAAGUCCAUGAGACCUGAUGAGAUGCAUCCCACAGUCCUGAGUGAACUGGCUGAUAUAGUUGCCCAGCCAGUCUCCAUGAUAUUUGAGAAGUCAUGGCCGUCAGGUGAAGUCCCUGCCAACUGGAAGAAGGGAAACAUUGCAUCCACUUUUAAAAAGGGUAGAAAAGAGGACCCCAGGAACUACUAACCUGUCAGCCCCACCUCUGUGCCUCUGAUUUGAGACUGCCAGCAUGGCUUCACCAAGGGCAAUUCCUACCUGAACAACCUAGUGGCCUUCUACAAUGGAGUAAUUUCACCAGCGGAUGUGGAGGGGUUGCUGUUAGAUGGAGAUUUGUUACUGAACCAGCCAGGAAUUUCAAGGCUGGGAACAGGAUCUGCCGUGGGAGAGAAACAACUCCGAAAUAACAAGGCCCGAACGUGGUGUAAAUCAAUGAACCUAUCAGCAGUGAGACUUCGGCACAUGGACAGCUUGUGAACAUAGAUGAUAUCCAAUUAGCAAAUGCAUGCUUAGAGCGUGGAUGCGUGAUCAGAUAAUAGUUGCAUAUAUAAGGAGGCUUGUUUCUGUAAUAAAUGGCUUUGCGUGAUUCACAUUGAAUCAGAAUGCUGAGUCCUUUAUUCACUCCAACAAAUGGUGUGACACUGACGUGAUGCUCUGAACGGCAUAUCACUAUGAUCGGGGAAAAGCCUGGAGUGGCCCAGCCAGAGGCGGAUCAGCUGGACUGAGAACCAGGCGGAGGCAUAUGGACGUUCCACAGAUAAAUUUGUCAAAGAAAUCACCGGAAAAGGUGAGCAGCUAGGGCAGGAGGAGGGAAGAGUGAAGCUCCUCCUGAUAUUCUCUCUGUGAGAGGACUUAAAUAUUAAGAAAGUAACAUACGUAGACUGUUGGUUUGGUGUAGAACUAACGGCUACCUGGCAGAAACCAAGAAGGCUUUUAAACUUGAACUUUGGGAUGAUAUAGGGCAGAAAUUAUGGGAUAAGGUCAGCAAUGGAGAUAAAGAAGCUAAAUCAUUAGCAACUACAUGGAAGGUUACAAUUACCACCUUAAAAGAUCUUAAGGCUGAACAGUCUGCUUCUGACGGAGUUUUUGCAGCUUUGCAGCCUGAUAAGAAACCUGAAAGUCGCUGUGAAGUUUACCUGGUUCGUGUCUUUGAUACCCUCCCUACUCCAUCCCCUGUUGUGCCUUCGGUGCCCCAGUUGGCUCAGCAGUCUGGGACGGCGCGGGGGAAAAUGCCAAGUGGGUGGCCUCCUACUCAAUUACCCAACGCUGCUGAGAAUAGCAAGUCCAAAGAAUUGGAGUCAGACAAUUUGCCCAAGGAACCUGUGAAAGCCUAGAAUGUUAAAGUCAUAAACAAGUGUACUGUCAGUCCUUUUACCAAUUUGUAUCUGCCUUUACCACCUUUUAAUCCUCCAACUUCCACAAGAGAGCAGAAGGAGUCACCGGAUAAGAACUGGGCAAAAGAACUGUGUGAAGGAUUAGAUCAGCUAAUAGUGAGUGAAUCCAGCAGUCGGCAAUGCGGUCAUGAUGAUCGUGACGGGAAAGGGGAUGCGCAUGGGGACUCAGGUUAUACAAAUAAUUAUGAUGCUAGAAAACAUUGGCGAGAAUGCACACUGUUCCGAACCCCCCUGUUACUAAUGAUUCUCCAGCACCAUUCAAGUCCGUGUUAUCUGAUGACUCAGAUGAGGGUCUGCAGCAUUUUUUUUUGAAAAGUUAACAGGAAAAAGAGUAUGUGUACAUGUUGCCCCGAGAUCAGAUAAAAACUAUGAAAGACUCAAGCAAAAUUAGGCCUAUGUAACGUAACAGCUAUUGAUCAUUUAGGACAGAACAAUGGGGACUCAUUGAAAGGGGCAGGUAUCCCACAACCCUUGGAACAGACACUAAUUGACACACCACAAUUACAGGCCCAUUUAGUUUCUGAAAUCCUGAGGCAGUCAACAGAUCUUGCAUAUUAAGCUAUGAUAAAGGUGCCUGAAACCAACAAAGCAGCCAAAUCUUUUAUAACUACUAUCAGGGUCCCAGUGAAGAUUACAUGCAAUUUAUUGACCAUCUUCAAGAGGCCAUCAAUAAGCAGGUUGAAAACUUAGAAGUUAAGGAAGCAGUGGUGUUGAAAUUCUCAGUAGAGAAUGCUAAUGUUUGCUAUCAACAUGUUAUCUGAGUUUUACAGUACAUAUUAUGUACGCCUGUGUAUUGCCUCUCUGAAAAUCAAGCAGCUUGUCAGGAAUGUGAGUUAAUUGUUUUACUAGUUGUUUUUAAGUGUGCCAUGAAACCUUCUCCCCAUUUUUCCCAAUCACACUGCAAGCAGCCCUGUGCUUUCCCCCCUCUCUCCCUCUUCUCAUGGUUUUUACAUACAAGAUGGGGUCAGAAAUUACUGUUUUCAGUUGUGUUCCUAAGUAAUCAGUAUUGGGAGGUGUUUUAGAACAUAGGAAAGCACUUGGAAAUAGGAGAAAAUAUUGAAAUUAGUGUUGGCUGCUGUACAAGUUUGAAUGAUUGGGAAAAGUGUCCGGAGAAUAGAAUCUUGAAGUAUAACACCUUGUUGCAAUUAAUGUUGUUUUUAAGGUGAGAAGAGCAGGACAAAAAUGAAUCUCUACAAGAGAUCAUUAAAUCAUUUCAGACAGUUUUGCAGGUGGAACAAUUUGAACUUCAACAAGCUGAGAGAGUUAACUGAUAACACACAGGUCAGAAAACUUGCUGAAGUCUGCAAGGUGCUUUCCUUAUUAACCUGUUUUCUUUGUGGGUAUCUGUUUAAGCAUGUUGCAAUUUUGCUAGGUCUUUGUUAUAUGGUACAAUAAGUUCACAGACUGCUAAAUCAUGAGAAUCUGUUGACUCAAAAUGUGUGUUUUGUGAUAAUACAGAAGACCACGAGUAAUUUAGUUCUAUACUGCAUGAAUGUGAUGGUAAAAUUUUUGUGUGUAGUAGCUGUUAUUUUUCUUUCUAGCAUGCUAGCUUUAUUCCGGUAUCCAGACUUGCACAACUCUGUGAUAGGCUGUGUCUCAUCUCGAUGUGCUGGAUUUGGCUCUUUUGUAUGCACACCAUGUAAAGAAUCCUAGUUUUGGGAUAACAAUUAUAGCGCACCAGAUUAGACACUAAAAAAAAAAAAAUCCUUGCCCAGACCAGCUUGCUGCAGCGGCGGGGGGGCAGGUGCCAAUGGGGCUCCAGCGCGCACUGACCUGUUUUGUCAGGGAGACCCAGAGGUACCUCCACCUGGCUGAGUAGUAAGCAGUUCAAAGGUGCAAUGCAAAAAUUGAGAUAUUGUCUUAAAUUAGUGUAACUGUGAUCCAUCUGCAUAUUUGAACUUGGUAUUUGGUUUUUAUAUCUGAGCUCAGUAUUUUAAUUUGCAUAUAUAUAUAUUUGGUACCAAAAGAAUUUUGUUUGGGGAGAUAAUUACAAAAUGGGAACCGGUUCCACUACUAAAAUACCACGUUGCUUCCCAUUAGGAUGCAUUCUUACAAAUUAGAGUAAUUGCUUAUAUUGUUAUCUAAUAAUGUUGAGACCAGAAAAUAAUUUAAGUUGUUAAACUCUGAUUAGCAUUGAAUGUAUGUGUUUGUUGGAGACAUGGGAACUAAAACUAAAUGCUAUGAUAGAUGUGAAUUUGGAAGAGGUUGUAUUUAAAAGUUGCUAGAAUAUUUACUGAUUUGGAUCUAGGAAAACAGAAUAAUAGAUUUAUGUUUAUUAUACUGGUUUUUGACAUCUGUAAAUUGUGAAAGGUAAAUGGAGCUAAGGAAUGUAACUAUUGCUGAGCUACUUGGAAUUGCAGAUAAAGUGUCUUAUAGUUGGAAUGAAAUGGGAAAACAAUAGAGCAAAAUAUCCCAGGCCUGUGUGAAGCUGCAAGAUAAAUUCAGCUCAUUGUAACUGAGGAGUUUGCCAGAGCCUCCUACUUUGUACCAGCGAUUACACCAGCUGUGUGGCCUUGGCUAUAUCUAAACUGCAGCAAGAAGAGUAAAGAAAAAAAAUAAUAGAAAAACCUGGCUGCCCACUUUCAAGGUGGUGAAAGGGGGGUUUUCUCUCCCCCACACUGCAGCGAUGUUGUAAUACUGAAUGGAGCAGUCUGAGGGUGAAAUUUAAAGGCAUCCCUAGCAGAUCCGUAGUUCUAAUGAAACUCAAAAAUUAAACCAAAAAUUUGUUAAUAGACUUAUUCUGUGGUAACUAGUUGUAAAAGACUUCUUAGUAAAUUCACUGUGAUAGUUUUUGAGAUCAUGGGAAAGAAAGAAAGAAAGACUGUUUUUGUUUUUUGAGACCAAUGCAUUGCCAAAUUUGGAACAAAGUUUUGCCAUACGAAUUCUUGUAUUUGCCAGAAAGUCCUGUACCUCUCUAGGGUCAAGAUUUGUUAAGAAAAUUGUAAGCUCAAAUAACGUUUUCUGAGAAUUCUGUUUAGUUGCAUGUCCUACAAGAAGCUGUGUGGAUGGUGCAGAUCUGCUUGCUGCAAGUGAGAAAUCUCCAAGGACAUUUCAAAUGCUGUAUUUCCACUACUAUUAACAGCCAAUGUUUCAAUAAAGCAAACACUACACUGAUAGAACUGAAACAGGACUUCGAUCCGGUAAGGAAUACAAUAUCCAAUAAAUAUGACAACCAAAAUGGAAUUAGAGACUUUGAUGAAUAAAUUUCUGACAACCUUACAAUCUAACUGCAUUCCAUUGGACUUGCAGAUUUGUCUAUGAAACAACCUGUGGCUAUUGUUGGACAGUAUGAUGAGAAUGCUAACAGACUGAUAUACCAAUUGUUACUCUGAAAGAAAACGCAGGGAAUGAAUUUAAGUCUUAAUAGGCCAUGAUCCUUUUGUCAUGUAUGUACCAUUUGUGAAAUUUAAUUUUGAUUUUUUGUUUGUAAUCUAUGUCCUUGUAAAUUGCACUAGCUUUUUUUCUUAAUAGCACAGCUUUUGGCAUGCAUAAAUGUAAAUUGCUGCAGAACCUGCAAGUCUUUAACAUCAGGUCACAGACCAUACGUGUAUCUGGUCUGAUCCUACAUACUUGCAAAGUUUUUGUUGAUGGUUCUGGGAAGUCUCAUAAAGCUGAAGUGGUUUGGGGUGAAGAUAACAAUUGGCAUCAUUCUGUAAAAAUUAUUGAAGGUUCAACCCAAUUAGCAGAACUUGGUGCAGCUUUACAGUAUUUAGAGCUUUUUAAGGAGGAACCUCUAAAUUUGAUUUGUGAUUUUGAGUACGUACUCAAUAUCCAACGCAUGUAUCUGAUUCCGAACAUUUUUUUUUUUUUAAAGAAAAAAAAAGGGGGGGGAAGUAGAGGAAACACCACAAAACCAAUUGUCAAAAGCAUUGUAUGUGAUGAAACACUUUGCAAGUAUGACCCAAAACCAUGCUAAAUCAGAAAGAACCUACAUUAGUUAUGGUCAAAUCACUAGUUAAUGGUAAAGGGAAAAGGCCACAUUGAUUGAUAACCUGGGGAAAAGGUUAUGUUUGUGUCAUUACAAGCCAAGGAUCGAAGUGGAUUCCCACGAAAUGGGUCAAGCCAUGGCUGAAUAAAGACAACAAAGAUUCAAUGAAUGCAGAUGGACAGGAGGGAGAUAAGUUGUGAGGACUGUUUCAGAAGUAAACCAUGAAUCAUAAUUCAGCGUUAUAGAUGCUCACAGACCUGGUGAUCUAGAAGCCUAUUAGCAAGCAAGUGGUGUACCUUCUGUGGAGAAUGGCAAUUUGAACAAAUAGCAGGAGAGCCAAAAGGGAGAUAUUACACUUAGAUAGUCAAUGCAAAAAUGAGGUAAAAUUAUGAGACAUUCCUACCAUAGUACCUGCUGCACUCCUUCUCACUGAUCUAGCAGCUGGUAAAGCUUUAGGAGACAUAUCAAAGUUCAGCUACUGUUCUUUUAAAUAGGUUAAUUUAACUCUUGAAAUACUAAUAAUAGAUGUUGAUGGUAUUAGGCAUGUUACUCUACAAAAUCACACAGUUAUAAAUGUUCUACUUUUAACAUUAGGAUUAUGGUUGUGCUGUAUUAACUUGUUUGAUUAUUCUAAAUCUAUUAAUAAGUGCUUUAGACAAACUAGAACCAUACAUUAAUAAGAUGGCCAUAGUAAAGUUAAGGUUUGACAUAUAGCUUAUAAGUUUUGGAAUAAGUGGGUAGUUGUUUGAUCUUAUUAAAUAAGGCUUAAUUGGAUUAGAUCUAACUGUAAUUAUUGUGUUAAUCAUGUGCUGUAUAUUGUAGUGUAUUUCAAAGAUGAUUCAGCAUGCUGUGAAUGGGGCCUGGCUGGUUCAAGAAGAAAAAGGGGGAAUUGUGGAGGGGUUGCUGUUAGAUGGAGAUUUGUUACCUAACCAGCCAGGAAUUUCAAGGCUGGGAACAGGACCUGCCAUGGGAGAGAAGCAACUCUGAAAUAACAAGGCCUGAAUGUGGUGUAAAUCAACGGACCUAUCAGCAGUGAGACUUCGGCACAUAGACAGCUCAUGAACAUAGAUGAUAUCCAAUUAGCGAAGGCAUGCUUGGAGCAUGGACGUGUGAUCCGAGAAUAGUUGCAUAUAUAAGGAGGCUUGUUUCUGUAAUAAAUGGCUUUGUGUGAUUCACAUUGAAUCGGAA